UUGAAGAGUUUGAUCAUGGCUCAGAUUGAACGCUGGCGGCAGGCCUAACACAUGCAAGUCGAACGGUAACAGGAAACAGCUUGCUGUUUCGCUGACGAGUGGCGGACGGGUGAGUAAUGUCUGGGAAACUGCCCGAUGGAGGGGGAUAACUACUGGAAACGGUAGCUAAUACCGCAUAACGUCGCAAGACCAAAGAGGGGGGACCUUCGGGCCUCUUGCCAUCGGAUGUGCCCAGAUGGGAUUAGCUAGUAGGUGGGGGUAAAGGCUCACCUAGGCGACGAUCCCUAGCUGGUCUGAGAGGAUGACCAGCCACACUGGAACUGAGACACGGUCCAGACUCCUACGGGAGGCAGCAGUGGGGGAAUAUUGCACAAUGGGCGCAAGCCUGAUGCAGCCAUGCCGCGUGUAUGAAGAAGGCCUUCGGGUUGUAAAGUACUUUCAGCGGGGAGGAAGGGAGUAAAGUUAAUACCUUUGCUCAUUGACGUUACCCGCAGAAGAAGCACCGGCUAACUCCGUGCCAGCAGCCGCGGUAAUACGGAGGGUGCAAGCGUUAAUCGGAAUUACUGGGCGUAAAGCGCACGCAGGCGGUUUGUUAAGUCAGAUGUGAAAUCCCCCGGGCUCAACCUCGGGAACUGCAUCUGAUACUGGCAAGCUUGAGUCUCGUAGAGGGGGGGUAGAAUUCCGGGUGUAGCGGUGAAAUGCGUAGAGAUCUGGAGGAAUACCGGUGGCGAAGGCGGCCCCCUCGGACGAAGACUGACGCUCAGGUGCGAAAGCGUGGGGGAGCAAACAGGAUUAGAUACCCUCGGUAGUCCACGCCGUAAACGAUGUCGACUUGGAGGUUGUGCCCUUGAGGCGUGGCUUCCGGAGCUAACGCGUUAAGUCGACCGCCCCGGGGAGUACGGCCGCAAGGUUAAAACUCAAAUGAAUUGACGGGGGCCCGCACAAGCGGUGGAGCAUGUGGUUUAAUUCGAUGCAACGCGAAGAACCUUACCUGGUCUUGACAUCCACGGAAGUUUUCAGAGAUGAGAAUGUGCCUUCGGGAACCGUGAGACAGGUGCUGCAUGGCUGUCGUCAGCUCGUGUUGUGAAAUGUUGGGUUAAGUCCCGCAACGAGCGCAACCCUUAUCCUUUGUUGCCAGCGGUCCGGCCGGGAACUCAAAGGAGACUGCCAGUGAUAAACUGGAGGAAGGUGGGGAUGACGUCAAGUCAUCAUGGCCCUUACGACCGUGGGCUACACACGUGCUACAAUGGCGCAUACAAAGAGAAGCGACCUCGCGAGAGCAAGCGGACCUCAUAAAGUGCGUCGUAGUCCGGAUUGGAGUCUGCAACUCGACUCCAUGAAGUCGGAAUCGCUAGUAAUCGUGGAUCAGAAUGCCACGGUGAAUACGUUCCCGGGCCUUGUACACACCGCCCGUCACACCAUGGGAGUGGGUUGCAAAAGAAGUAGGUAGCUUAACCUUCGGGAGGGCGCUUACCACUUUGUGAUUCAUGACUGGGGUGAAGUCGUAACAAGGUAACCGUAGGGGGAACCUGCGGUUGGAUCACCUCCUU
rnacentral:rRNA from 1 species